rnacentral:lncRNA from 1 species
GAAAAACAAUAUUACUAAAUUUCUACCCUGAAAGUAUAAACUCUUCAAAGUUUUUAAAAAUCUUCUUUACUUUUAAAAAAAUGAACUUAUUUUUAAGUUCAUUUUAUUCCCUUUGCUAGGAUUGUAGACCUAGACAUGACCUGCCAUUUACUUCUUGUGCUGUGAUUUGCAAACUUGGCAUAUAUUCAUUUAAAUAUAACUCAACACCAGCUUCUUUUCAUAAAACUCUCUUUUUUAUAGAUUGUCUGUUAUCACAGCCACAAAGGCAGGACUGAACCAUGGGAGCAGAAGGGCACGCAACAACUGAUUCACAGAUGCCCUGAAGUCUAUUCAUGGAUCCCUUAGUCAUCUGUGAAUCUCAGGUUAGAAACUAUUGAUAGAUAAUUCUCUCUCUUCCUUCUCCUCCUCCUCAGUGAGUAAACAAGCAAUUUGAAAUAGUUUAUACAUGGGCAGUUUUGCAAGACGUAUUUCCAUAUUGGUCAUGUUGUGAAAGAAAAUAUGGAUCAAAAACAACUUAAAAAAUGAAGUAAAAAAAGAGUAUGCUUCGAUCUGAAUUCAGACUCCAUUCGUUCUCUCACUGGGAAGUUCCGUUUGUAAGACUAGAUUGUUGUCUCCAUGAUAUGAAUGACAAGAGCGUGUAUCUUGGAGACCUACCUCUGCAAUCUGUUGAAGUAUUUCAUUUGUAUUUGAUUGGACGUAAUUUAGCACCAUAGAUUGAAAUCAACUCCAAAUCAACCAAUUUUAAGGUUGCUUGUUGGAAGAGGGAAGAGAAGGAACUCUUCUCCAUGUCUACUACAAUUGAGCCAAGCUGUCUACGCUGAUGUAGUCUCUCCUCACCUGCAUCUCUCUGAACCCUAGUUUCUUCCAAGCAUCAUAUAUGGGACCUUCCUAAUCUCCUCUCCACUAGUGCCUCUCCCCACAUAGGAAAAAGUAGUACUGUGUAGCAGAAUGAAUUCUGGUAUUGAAAAAGAAGUGAAGGCAGUGAGGUUCUGGUUUUAUCUCUGUCAAUAAAUAGCUUUAUGACUUUCUUCCUUCA